rnacentral:piRNA from 1 species
UGAAUUGAUGAUCCUUUGUGUUGG